rnacentral:rRNA from 1 species
GACGUAGGAUGCGAGCGUUGUCCGGAUUUAUUGGGCGUAAAGAGUUCGUAGGCGGUUCGUUAAGUCUGAUGUUAAAGACUGGGGCCCAACCCUGGGAGUGCAUUGGAUACUGGCGGACUGGAGUGCAGUAGAGGCAAGCGGAAUUCCCAGUGUAGCGGUGAAAUGCGUAGAUAUUGGGAAGAACACCGGUGGCGCAAGCGGCUUGCUGGGCUGCAACUGACGCUGAGGAACGAAAGCUAGGGGAGCAAACGGG